CCCCAACUUCUGAAUGUUGACCUCGGAUCAGGUAGGAAUACCCGCUGAACUUAAGCAUAUCAAAAGCCGGAGGAA
rnacentral:rRNA from 1 species